GGCACUGUGGCUGAGUGGUAAAGCGCUUGGCUUCUGAACUGGGGGUCCCGGGUUCGAAUCCUGGUGAAGACU
rnacentral:tRNA from 1 species